UGUGUACGCGCUGCGAGGGUGUGGGGAAGUUGGUGGAAAGUUAUUAACGUUAAAACGCCGGUGCAAACUGAACCGCGAAAUAAUAUGGCGGAGUUUAUCCUGACUCUCAGGGGGGCCAUUCCAUGCGCGGAAUCGUAAUGCAUUUUCCUUAUAUAGCGUUUUUUAUUAUGUCUAUCGUUUCUCGCUUCACGGGCGAUGCGAAAAUGGCGACAAUCUCGGAUAUUGCUCAAGCGGGGGCCUAUUUUAUAUAUCGUCUCUUAUUCCAUCCGCCAAACAGCCUACACAUAAAUAAGAAUCAACCCUCUCAGGUUCUUCAUCGAUUUAUCCGGCACCUCUCAGCGCAUAAAAAAGAUACCGGAAAAACGAUUAGCCGACAAACAAAUCACGCUUCCACAAAAACAAAGAAAUGAGGGGAGGAAAAAGAAAUAAAAAGGUGCCAAACCGAGUAAACGUCGAAGAAACGAUAUCAUUAGUUCUUGGGGCACCCGCAAUGGAACGUGGUGCUGCAAAAUCGCCACUAAAUGUCAAAUAAAAGACUAUCGAGCUUUUUACUACAUGGCUUUGCACCGCCUGUUAGUAAUCAGGGGUGGAUUAUGGUAUAGGUGCUGUUGGCAUCGCGACGGCCGGCCAUUAUAGCGUGAAGUGAGGUUAGGUUAGCGGCAGCGAUGUCCCCUGUGACCAAUAAAUUAAUCAAGUCUGCCAGGGAUGUUACUGGAGCGUCCGAUCCUGUGUUGUAUUUUCAGGAACGAAUCAUGGGCUAAAGCCACACCAUUAUUAUUCUCAAAACAUGUGAAACGACAAGCUUUUUGUUGUUUACAUUUUAGUUGAAUAGUAAAUUUGUUAGUUGAAAACAACUUACCCAAAUAAACUUAUUUAAUGCAU